rnacentral:rRNA from 1 species
AUUGAACGCUGGCGGCAGGCCUAACACAUGCAAGUCGAGCGGAUGAAGGGAGCUUGCUCCUGGAUUCAGCGGCGGACGGGUGAGUAAUGCCUAGGAAUCUGCCUGGUAGUGGGGGCUAACGUCCGGAAAUGGGCGCUAAUACCGCAUACGUCCUGAGGGAGAAAGUGGGGGAUCUUCGGACCUCACGCUAUCAGAUGAGCCUAGGUCGGAUUAGCUAGUUGGUGGGGUAAAGGCCUACCAAGGCGACGAUCCGUAACUGGUCUGAGAGGAUGAUCAGUCACACUGGAACUGAGACACGGUCCAGACUCCUACGGGAGGCAGCAGUGGGGAAUAUUGGACAAUGGGCGAAAGCCUGAUCCAGCCAUGCCGCGUGUGUGAAGAAGGUCUUCGGAUUGUAAAGCACUUUAGGUGGGGAGGAAGGGCAGUAAGUUAAUACCUUGCUGUUUUGACGUUACCAACAGAAUAAGCACCGGCUAACUUCGUG